rnacentral:rRNA from 1 species
AUACGGAGGGGGCUAGCGUUGUUCGGAAUUACUGGGCGUAAAGCGUCCGCAGGCGGAUAAUUAAGUUAGAGGUGAAAUCCCAGGGCUCAACCCUGGAACUGCCUUUAAAACUGGUUAUCUAGAGUUAUGGAGAGGUAAGUGGAAUUCCUAGUGUAGAGGUGAAAUUCGUAGAUAUUAGGAGGAACACCAGAGGCGAAGGCGGCUUACUGGACAUAUACUGACGCUGAGGGACGAAAGUGUGGGGAGCGAACGGGAUUAGAAACCCCGGUAGUCC